UACAGAGGGUGCAAGCGUUGUUCGGAAUUAUUGGGCGUAGAGCGCGUGUAGGCGGCUUUGCAAGUCGGGUGUGAAAGCCCUCAGCUCAACUGAGGAAGUGCGCCCGAAACUGCAGAGCUUGAGUGCCGGAGAGGGUGGCGGAAUUCCCCAAGUAGAGGUGAAAUUCGUAGAUAUGGGGAGGAACACCGGUGGCGAAGGCGGCCACCUGGACGGUAACUGACGCUGAGACGCGAAAGCGUGGGGAGCAAACAGG
rnacentral:rRNA from 1 species